GAUGAACGCUAGCGGCAGGCUUAACACAUGCAAGUCGAGGGGCAGCAUGAAGGUUAGCAAUAACCUUUGAUGGCGACCGGCGCAAGGGUGCGUAACGCGUGAGCAACUUGCCCGUUUCAGGGGGAUAACCGGUGGAAACGCCGACUAAUACCCCAUAGUAUAAUCUUAAGGCAUCUCAAUCUGAUUAAAGAAAUUCGGAAACGGAUAGGCUCGCGUGACAUUAGCUUGAUGGCGGGUAACGGCCCACCAUGGCUACGAUGUCUAGGGGUUCUGAGAGGAAGGUCCCCCANACUGGAACUGACGACACGGUCCAGACUCCUACGGGAGGCAGCAGUGAGGAAUAUUGGUCAAUGGUCGGAAGACUGAACCAGCCAAGUAGCGUGAAGGAUGACUGCCCUACGGGUUGUAAACUUCUUUGUUGGAAUAAAG
rnacentral:rRNA from 1 species